GAUGAACGCUGGCGGCGUGCCUAAUACAUGCAAGUCGAGCGAACAGAUAAGGAGCUUGCUCCUUUGACGUUAGCGGCGGACGGGUGAGUAACACGUGGAUAACCUACCUAUAAGACUGUGAUAACUUCGGGAAACCGGAGCUAAUACCGGAUAACAUAUUGAACCGCAUGGUUCAAUAGUGAAAGGCGGCUUUGCUGUCACUUAUAGAUGGAUCCGCGCCGUAUUAGCUAGUUGGUAAGGUAAAGGCUUACCAAGGCAACGAUACGUAGCCGACCUGAGAGGGUGAACGGCCACACUGGAACUGAGACACGGUCCAGACUCCUACGGGAGGCAGCAGUAGGGAAUCUACCGCAAUGGGCGAAAGCCUGACGAAGCAACGCCACGUGAGUGAUGAAGGUCUUCGGAUCGUAAAACUCUGUUAUCAGGGAAGAACAAAUGUGUAAGUAACUGUGCACAUCUUGACGGUACCUGAUCAGAAAGCCACGGCUAACUACGUGCCAGCCGCCGCUGUAA
rnacentral:rRNA from 1 species